UUAUAAAAAAGACAAAUCAUUUGCAGAGAAAGAUCUCCCUAUGCUAGGAGAAGUAGACAGAGAUAAAUGGAAGGAACUGCUCUCCAAGAUUCUUAGUCACUUCCUUUUCUUUACAGGGGCAAGCUAGCCUGCUUUCCACCAGAGCAUCUCCCUCCAAAGAUGCAAGUGUGUGGAAAUGAGACUGCAGGGAGAACUUCCAGGCAACAAAGGAUGUGAGACUAUAGAAGAGGCACUAUAGCUGGGCUCAUGGAGGAGGGAUGCCGCUCUGGACUUUGCCCAGGGGAUGCUGGAUCUCUGAUAUGAAGGAAGAAGAGGGGGAGGAAGGGUCCCCAAGCCUCUGACCUUGAUCUGAGCAUCACAGAAGCCUCCUCCCCUGAGGAUCCUGCAGUAGCCAAGCCACCAGCUUUCACAGAUGAUGGCUCACACUGAAAUAACUUGUUCCUAGGGUAGUUGGUGAUCAAUGACUCAAAUUAAACCUUAGAAAAGUUUUUUUUCUUCCUGACACUUUAUAGGUUUCUCUACUUAUCUCCUCCCUGGAUGGCUGUAUAAGCCAGAUGACGGCUACCUGAACACUCUAGAAAAAGUGAAUUCACAGAGGCUUUCACAGGGCACAGCCUCGCAGUCUGGAGGGAGAAGAGGGCAAAGCAGUCUUCACGGAUGCCACCUACUGCCUAGCUGGGCAGAGAGCCAGUGGAUCAGAGAGGCCGGCUCUGUUCUUGGCAGGAAAUGAGGGGCUGGCAUGGAAAUGCCACCCAGGCUGGGAACAAGAUCUGUGGAGUGGCAGCCUGAGUGGGUGAGCUUGAUCUGCAGUCCUUUCAUCUCAAAGAGAAUGGCCAGCAAGGAGCCCAUUCAUGGAGCCUUGUUGGACAACUCCACCUACACAGUCUUCAGUGGUGCUCUGGAGAACAGAAGCUGACAACAGGCUAUGGUGAUCCAGAGUCCUCACCGUCUACUCUCCCAUCCCUUCAACCAAACUUUCCUGGGCAACUCUGAUGCCAGGCAUUUCUAGCACUGUGACAGAACCUGGUGGAGGACAGAGGGCUCCACUUCAAAGGUAACCACCUGUCUCCUUCUGCUAUAACAGGGCUGACCUCAGUGCAGCAGAGGGCAGAGCUUGGAGGCAGCUGCUGAGAAUUUGCACUCUAAAGACAUCCACCUAAAUCACAAGCUUUAUAUCUGGGCACUCAGCCAGACCUCCUGACCAUAUCCUGGACUGCGGACUUUGGAUGGUGGAACGGGGGUGGAAUUGAACAUUAAAUGAGCAACAUGCUAAUUCCAUGCAAAUGAAUAUCUAUUUUGAAUCAACAGCUUGGGCACUUUUUCUAGGAGGGCUGAGGCAGCAGGAAUCUAAAGAGAGGAUGAGAGGGGGAGGGGUUUCUCUCAGAGGUGGCAGAGAGUGCAAAGGGGGCUCCAGGCUGGGCAGAGCCACCUCCUGCCCACAGUUCCUAAUGCUAUUUGAUUGGCUCAUUAGCAAGUAUGAAACAUGGGAAGUCCAAA
rnacentral:lncRNA from 1 species